rnacentral:rRNA from 1 species
AGCAGCCGCGGUAAUUCCAGCUCCAAUAGCGUAUAUUAAAGUUGUUGCAGUUAAAAAGCUCGUAGUUGAACUUCGGGGUUUACCCAUUGGUCAGGCUUAAUUGUCUGUACUGGUGAGAUAAAUCUCUACCUUCUGAGGAACUUUCAUGUCAUUAAUUUGGUGUGAUUGGAAAUUAGGACUGUUACUUUGAAAAAUUAGAGUGUUUAAAGCAGGCUAACGUCUGAAUACAUUAGCAUGGAAUAAUGAAAUAGGACGGACUGAUUCUAUUUCGUUGGUUUCUAGGAUCACCGUAAUGAUUAAUAGGGAUAGUUGGGGGCAUUAGUAUUCAAUUGUCAGAGGUGAAAUUCUUGGAUUUAUUGAAGACUAACUACUGCGAAAGCAUUUGCCAAGGAUGUUUUCAUUAAUCAAGAACGAAAGUUAGGGGAUCGAAGACGAUCAGAUACCGUCGUAGUCUUAACCAUAAACUAUGCCGACUAGGGAUCGGACGAAGUUAAUUUUAUAAUGACGCGUUCGGCACCUU